UACGAAGGUCCCAAGCGUUAUCCGGAUUUAUUGGGUUUAAAGGGUGCGUAGGCGGCUUAUUAAGUCAGUGGUGAAAGCCCCAAGCUUAACUUGGGAACUGCCAUUGAUACUGAUGAGCUUGAGUAGAUUUGAGGCGGGCGGAAUGUGUCGUGUAGCGGUGAAAUGCUUAGAUAUGACACAGAACACCAAUUGCGUAGGCAGCUCGCUAAACUCUUACUGACGCUGAGGCACGGAAGCAUGGGGAUCAAACAGG
rnacentral:rRNA from 1 species